rnacentral:rRNA from 1 species
UCAUUAAAUCAGUUAUCGUUUAUUUGAUAGUACCUUACUACUUGGAUAACCGUGGUAAUUCUAGAGCUAAUACAUGCUAAAAACCUCGACUUCGGAAGGGGUGUAUUUAUUAGAUAAAAAACCAAUGCCCUUCGGGGCUCCUUGGUGAUUCAUAAUAACUUAACGAAUCGCAUGGCCUUGUGCCGGCGAUGGUUCAUUCAAAUUUCUGCCCUAUCAACUUUCGAUGGUAGGAUAGUGGCCUACCAUGGUUUCAACGGGUAACGGGGAAUUAGGGUUCUAUUCCGGAGAGGGAGCCUGAGAAACGGCUACCACAUCCAAGGAAGGCAGCAGGCGCGCAAAUUACCCAAUCCCGACACGGGGAGGUAGUGACAAUAAAUACUGAUACAGGGCUCUUUUGGGUCUUGUAAUUGGAAUGAGUACAAUUUAAAUCCCUUAACGAGGAACAAUUGGAGGGCAAGUCUGGUGCCAGCAGCCGCGGUAAUUCCAGCUCCAAUAGCGUAUAUUAAAGUUGUUGCAGUUAAAAAGCUCGUAGUUGAAACUUGGGCCUGGCUGGCCGGUCCGCCUCACCGCGUGCACUGGUCCGGCCGGGCCUUUCCUUCUGGGGAGCCGCAUGCCCUUCACUGGGUGUGUCGGGGAACCAGGACUUUUACUUUGAAAAAAUUAGAGUGUUCAAAGCAGGCCUAUGCUCGAAUACAUUAGCAUGGAAUAAUAGAAUAGGACGAAGGUCUUAUUUUGUUGGUUUCUAAGACCGCCGUAAUGAUUAAUAGGGAUAGUCGGGGGCAUCAGUAUUCAAUUGUCAGAGGUGAAAUUCUUGGAUUUAUUGAAGACUAACUACUGCGAAAGCAUUUGCCAAGGAUGUUUUCAUUAAUCAGUGAACGAAAGUUAGGGGAUCGAAGACGAUCAGAUACCGUCGUAGUCUUAACCAUAAACUAUGCCGACUAGGGAUCGGGCGAUGUUAUCUUUUUGACUCGCUCGGCACCUUACGAGAAAUCAAAGUUUUU